CUAAAAGAUGAGGGUGCGGAACAUUAGUUAGUUGGUGAGGUAAUGGCUCACCAAGACUAUGAUGUUUAGCCGGGUCGAGAGACUGAACGGCCACAUUGGGACUGAGAUACGGCCCAAACUCCUACGGGAGGCAGCAGUAGGGAAUAUUCCACAAUGAGCGAAAGCUUGAUGGAGCGACACAGCGUGCACGAUGAAGGUCUUCGGAUUGUAAAGUGCUGUUAUAAGGGAAGAACAUUUGCAAUAGGAAAUGAUUGCA
rnacentral:rRNA from 1 species